rnacentral:lncRNA from 1 species
GGCUCCGGGGUGACUUCAUUGUGGCCUUCCAAUAUUUGAAGGGAGCAUAUCAACAGGAGGGGGAACGACUGUUUACAAGGGUGGACAGUGAUAGAACAAGGGGGAAUGGUUUUCAACUGAGACAGGGGAGGUUUAGGUUAGAUAUUAGGAGGAAGUUUUUCACUCAGAGGGUGGUGACGCACUGGAACAGGUUGCCCAAGGAGGUUGUGGAUGCCCCAUCCCUGGAGGCAUUCAAGGCCAGGCUGAAUGUGGUUCUGGGCAGCCUGGUUCAGUGGUUGGCGACCCUGCACAUAGCAGAGGAGUUGAAACUAGAUGAUCAUUGUGGUCGUUUUCAACCCAGGCCAUUCUAUGAUUCUAUGAUUUAAUAGAAGGUCAAGGUUCUCCCUACUUAUGUUCUGAAUCAAAUCACUGUGUACUUGUGUGCUACCCUGUUUGGCUACAGCAGGUCGUUCAUUCACCUUGAGCCUAAUGAAACUGCAUUUUGCUUCCCAUAUUGCUGAUUAAUUGCUGUGCAGUAAUAAUGUUCCAUUCUGCAAGCAGUUUAAAAAAAUAAAAAAAGCAACCAGUGUUCCCUUGGAACUGGUUGUGCUGCUACAGGUGUACUCCUGUGUAUAAGCAUCUCACUGGCCAAAGCAAAGGGAACACAGGCAUUCUGAAAAGGGGAGAGUAACUGCCACACCACGGCAGCCCCAGCCAGGAACCGAACUCCAAGGGCAGUGUGGCACUACUACUGCAAGGCUUCAGUUAUGCACCGUAACAGGCUCUUUGCUUUCUAUCUGUGAUAGAAACCUGUCACACAAAUUGAGGGAAGAGACAUCUGUAUUUUGCUGACAAUGCAGGUGAAGGAAGCAAGGUAGUGACAAGAUACCCCCUAUGCACCAUCUAACACAUUUGUUGUCUCUUACCACCUCACCAAACCUCUCCUUCAUGAAAUGUGGACCAGUUCAUAGGCCCCAGUCAUACAAAACAAAGAAAUGCAGUGUAAGGCACAUACUGAGGGAAGCAGGCACUCAAACCAGCCCCAGCACACAACAGAAUUGGUUGCACCAG